rnacentral:snoRNA from 1 species
UUGCGAUGAUGACCAUUUAGGACACCUUUGUAUUAACCAUGAAAAUGAAAUGUAACUCUGAGCGAU